UGGGGAAUUUUGGACAAUGGGCGCAAGCCUGAUCCAGCCAUGCCGCGUGCAGGAUGAAGGCCUUCGGGUUGUAAACUGCUUUUGUACGGAACGAAACGGCUCUUUCUAAUAAAGAGGGCUAAUGACGGUACCGUAAGAAUAAGCACCGGCUAACUACGUGCCAGCAGCCGCGGUAAUACGUAGGGUGCAAGCGUUAAUCGGAAUUACUGGGCGUAAAGCGUGCGCAGGCGGUGAUGUAAGACAGUUGUGAAAUACCCCGGGCUCAACCUGGGAACUGCAUCUGUGACUGCAUCGCUGGAGUACGGCAGAGGGGGAUGGAAUUCCGCGUGUAGCAGUGAAAUGCGUAGAUAUGCGGAGGAACACCGAUGGCGAAGGCAAUCCCCUGGGCCUGUACUGACGCUCAUGCACGAAAGCGUGGGGAGCAAACAGGAUUAGAUACCCUGGUAGUCCACGCCCUAAACGAUGUCAACUGGUUGUUGGGUCUUCACUGACUCAGUAACGAAGCUAACGCGUGAAGUGACCGCCUGGGGAGUACGGCCGCAAGGUG
rnacentral:rRNA from 2 species